rnacentral:tRNA from 1 species
UGCGGGCAGGUCUAAUGGUAGGACAUCAGGUUUUGGUCCUGGGUAUCUUGGUUCGAGUCCAGGCCCGGCAG